CUUACCUAGAAACCGUAGGUAUAAAAUUUAUUUUUCUUUUUCUGUCAACCUCAUUUUGCUCAUUCUACUUCCCUAUAGUCGCCCCUUUAAUCUUCCUCCUCUUUUCUUCUCCAUUCUAUUCCUUUUCUUUCUUUUCUUCCUCUAUUGUGCCAUACAUAAGCCCUAUAUUCCUCCCAUAGUUCCUUUCUUUUUUCCAUUUUUUGUUCCCGCCUAGUGAGCUAGCCACCAUUACUGCUGUCAUUCACUAGAAAACUGUCCACCAUUUCUUUUUUCUUUUCACACCAUUGUCACCCCUUGAAGCUCUUAAAUCACCCUUCUUUUCUUAUUUAUUUAUUUUCUAUCAAAUUUGAAUUCCAGUCAUCACAUAUCUGAAUUGGGUAGUGUAAGUGCUGUGUAUAUAUCAGAUCUAUUGUUAAUUUCUUUCCCUCUUAUUUUCUGUAAUGGUCGAAUAUUGUUAAUAUGAUAGCUAAAUUUCACAUCCUAAUUUUUGGUGUGUUAUUUUGUUUGAGGGACCUAAAUUGAACGCCUUGGAUUAGCAGUAGAGUCAAAGGAUAAUCCGCACCUCUUGGUUAAUCUUUAGAAGGAUCAAGGACGGAGGUAGGCUAGACUAGCCGGCACCGGUAUUGGCAGUCGCAUUUCACUUGAAUUUUCAGAUCCAACAAAAAGGACCAGGACAACAAAGGGAAGGGCAUGGUUUGCACCAAUGGCAAAGAUGAAUCAUGGGUCGCACGCACAUUAUGAAAAAAAAAAGAAAAGAAUGAAAUAGACGGGAUUGGGGACCAUCUUCACGUGCUAAUGUGCACCGCACUUGAAAUGGAGCCAAUUUUGAGUUAAAAUGAAGAAAGUGAUUGGGUAAAAGUAAUAUGGAGAUUCGUUUAUUAGGAAUAGAUUUCAUUUUACUUCUUUUACUUAGAAAAUAGAUAAAUUAAUUUUUGUACUUUUGAUCAAUGUACAAACUGAUUUUUCUGUUAAAAAUUUUACCUAUUUCUACUAUUAAAAA